rnacentral:rRNA from 1 species
GAUGAACGCUGACAGAAUGCUUAACACAUGCAAGUCAACUGUGGCGGACGGGUGAGUAAGGAGUAAAGAACUUGCCUCACAGCUGGAGACAACAUUUGGAAACGAAUGCUAAUACCUGAUACUGUGAGAGAGCUUUGCGUCCCAUUAGCUAGUUGGAGAGGUAACGGUUCACCAAGGCGAUGAUGGGUAGCCGGCCUGACAGGGUGAUCGGCCACAAGGGGACAGGGAGACGGGCCUUACUCCUACGGGAGGCAUCAGUGGGGAAUCUUGGACAAUGGUCCAAAGUCUGAUCCAGAAAUUCUGUGUGCACGAUGCGGUUUUAGGAAUGUAAAGUGCUUUCAGUUGGGAAGCGGUACCAACAGAAGAAGCGACGGCUAAAUACGUGCCAGCAGCCGCGGUAAUAG